GUGGUCUGGUUAGUCUCUGGUCAAAUCUCCCGGCUUAACCGGGAGGCGGCGAGGGAAACGGCCAGACUGGAGCGAGUGAGGGGCUAGCGGAACUCAUGGUGUAGGGGUGAAAUCCGUUGAUAUCAUGGGGAACACCAAAAGCGAACGCAGCUAGCUGGCGCUCAGCUGACACUGAAACACGAAAGCGUGGGUAGCGAAUGGGAUUAGAUACCCCAGUAGUCCACGCCCUAAACGAUGUUCUCUGGCUUUUCGGAGUAUCGACCCUCUGAGAGGCGAAGCUAACGCGUUAAGAGAACCGCCUGGGAAGUACGGCCGCAAGGCUAAAACUCAAAAGAAUAGACGGGGACUCGCACAAGCGGUGGAUCAUGUGGUUUAAUUCGACGAUGAACGAAGAACCUCACCAGGGUUUGAAAUCCAGACGAAACUCCGAUGAAAGUUGGAGCCUCUCACAAGGACGGCUGGACAGGUGAUGCAUGGCUGUCGUCAGUUCGUGGCUUGAGUUGUUCCCUUCAGUGGGGAAACGAACGCAACCCUUGUCGCGUGUUACAAGUGUCACGCGAGACUGUCCCGUUUAACGGGAAGGAAGCGAGGAUGACGCCAAGUCAGCAUGUCCCUCUGAUAUCCUGGGCUACACACAUGAUACAAUGGCCGUUACAACAGGUCGCGACGGGGAAACCCCGAGCCAAUCCUUAAAAGCGGCCCCAGUUCGGAUUGAGGUCUGCAACUCGACCUCAUGAAGUUGGAAUCGCUA
rnacentral:rRNA from 1 species